rnacentral:rRNA from 1 species
UACGUAGGGUGCGAGCGUUGUCCGGAAUUAUUGGGCGUAAAGAGCUCGUAGGCGGCCUGUCGCGUCGGAUGUGAAAGCCCGGGGCUUAACCCCGGGUCUGCAUUCGAUACGGGCAGGCUGGAGUGUGGUAGGGGAGAUCGGAAUUCCUGGUGUAGCGGUGAAAUGCGCAGAUAUCAGGAGGAACACCGGUGGCGAAGGCGGGUCUCUGGGCCGAUACUGACGCUGAGGAGCGAAAGCGUGGGGAGCGAACAGG